rnacentral:rRNA from 1 species
UGCGUAGGUGGUUUCUUAAGUCAGAGGUGAAAGGCUACGGCUCAACCGUAGUAAGCCUUUGAAACUGGGAAACUUGAGUGCAGGAGAGGAGAGUGGAAUUCCUAGUGUAGCGGUGAAAUGCGUAGAUAUUAGGAGGAACACCAGUUGCGAAGGCGGCUCUCUGGACUGUAACUGACACUGAGGCACGAAGCGUGGGGAGCAAACA